rnacentral:tRNA from 1 species
GAGGGUAUAGCUCAAUGGUAGAGUGCCUGCUUAGCAUGCGUGAGGUCCUGGGUUCAGUCCCCAGUACCGUUA